UACGGAGGGUGCGAGCGUUAUCCGGAUUUACUGGGUUUAAAGGGUGUGUAGGCGGGCUGGUAAGUCAGGGGUGAAAUCCCGGAGCUCAACUCCGGAACUGCCUUUGAUACUACUGGUCUUGAAUAUUGUUGAGGUGGGCGGAAUGGGUCAUGUAGCGGUGAAAUGCAUAGAUAUGGGGAGGAACACCGGUGGCGAAGGCGGCCACCUGGACGGUAACUGACGCUGAGACGCGAAAGCGUGGGGAGCAAACAGG
rnacentral:rRNA from 1 species